UCCUGGCUGGGCUGGAUGGGAGAUGAUGCUGCUGGAAUGUCACCUGGAGCAGCCAGGAGCCAAAGCAGAUCCCUCCUGGUCGGGCUGGAUGGGAGAUGAGGCUGCUGGAAUGUCAUUGGAGCAGCCAGGAGCCAAAGCAGAUCCCUCCUGGCCAGGCUGGACGGGAGAUGAGGCUGCUGGAAUGUCAUUGGAGCAGCCAGGAGCCAAAGCAGAUCCCUCCUGGUCGGGCUGGAUGGGAGAUGAGGCUGCUGGAAUGUCACCUGGAGCAGCCAGGAGCCAAAGCAGAUCCCUCCUGGCCGGGCUGGAGGGCAGCUGCUGGAUCUGCUCUGGGGAAAACUCCCUGCCCCUGCCAGGAGCGCUGGCUCUGCUCUUCCUCCAGCUCCUGAGCAGUGUCAGGGCCACCGUGAGGGAGUUCAAACCCGAAAAAUCCCCACAGCCCACGGAGUGAAUGAUCCCAGCAGAGAAAUGCAGCGCUGUAAUGAAAAACUUACAGCUCUGUUAAAAAGACUGUGACAACACUGCAAUGGGAUUCCAAGGAACCUUCUGGUUUGCUCUUGGAUUGCUCUUGGUUCUGUUUUUAUGUGUUUUUAAUCCCUCAACAGGCAGCUUGUAGAAUUUAUUCUGGGACUUAGAGGUUGAGCAGGGUUGGCUCAGGAUUGACCUUCACCUCUGGUGCCGCUUUGCGCAAACACAACGUGGCCGGGCUGGGUGAACUCGUGACCUCAGCUUUCCCCUCCAAAAUGUCCCUCACUUAUUUCCCUGGGGUGAGCUGGGAUUUUGGCCCAGACUGUCACUCCUCACCUCCCCGUGCCCGCGCGGUGUCCGUUGUGUUCCCCACGGUGCCCUGGGGACACCGGGGGGUCCCUUUGCCUUUCUCCUGCCCCUUUCCAGCCCGAGGCUCCUCUGCCCUCGUCCCACACAGCACAGGGGCACCGAAGGGGAAAGGCUCCAGAAAACAUUUCUGCGAUUCCUCAGCAACUCUUUCAAUUCCCCGGGGAGAGGAGCGUGAACUCACAGCCACCGAGGCCUGACGGGUUCCUGCAGCGAGAGCUCGGCACGUGUCCGCAGAGGUGAGUGCGGCACCCGAAAGGAAAAAGCGCGGGAGACAAACGUGAUUUCUUUUGCUUCAAAGUUAUUGCAAGUUCUUAAAGCCCGACCAACUUUUGCUCUUGCUUUUGGUCGGGUGGAGCAGGAGCAGUGGGCAGAGGUGGUGCCAUUGAUGCGGACGU
rnacentral:lncRNA from 1 species